GACGAACGCUGGCGGCGUGCUUAACACAUGCAAGUCGAACGGUGACCCAGGGCUUGCCCUGGUGAUCAGUGGCGAACGGGUGAGUAACACGUGGGGCAACCUGCCCCUGACUUCGGGAUAACUCCUCGAAAGAGGAGCUAAUACCGGAUACGACCACUUCGGACAUCCGAUGGUGGUGGAAAGUUUUUCGGUCAGGGAUGGGCCCGCGGCCUAUCAGCUAGUUGGUGGGGUAAUGGCCUACCAAGGCGACGACGGGUAGCCGGCCUGAGAGGGCGACCGGCCACACUGGGACUGAGACACGGCCCAGACUCCUACGGGAGGCAGCAGUGGGGAAUAUUGCGCAAUGGGCGAAAGCCUGACGCAGCGACGCCGCGUGAGGGAUGAAGGCCUUCGGGUUGUAAACCUCUUUCAGCAGGGACGAAACGAAAGUGACGGUACCUGCAGAAGAAGACACCGGCUAACUACGUGCCAGCAGCCGCGGUAAU
rnacentral:rRNA from 1 species